rnacentral:rRNA from 1 species
AGUGAACGCUGGCGGUAGGCCUAACACAUGCAAGUCGAACGGCAGCACAGUAAGAGCUUGCUCUUACGGGUGGCGAGUGGCGGACGGGUGGGGAAUACAUCGGAAUCUACUUUUUCGUGGGGGAUAACGUAGGGAAACUUACGCUAAUACCGCAUACGACCUACGGGUGAAAGCAGGGGAUCUUCGGACCUUGCGCGAUUGAAUGAGCCGAUGUCGGAUUAGCUAGUUGGCGGGGUAAAGGCCCGCCAAGGCGACGAUCCGUAGCUGGUCUGAGAGGAUGAUCAGCCACACUGGAACUGAGACACGGUCCAGACUCCUACGGGAGGCAGCAGUGGGGAAUAUUGGACAAUGGGCGCAAGCCUGAUCCAGCCAUACCGCGUGGGUGAAGAAGGCCUUCGGGUUGUAAAGCCCUUUUUGUUGGGAAAGAAAAGCAGCAGGUUAAUACCCCGCUGUUCUGACGGUACCCAAAGAAUAAGCACCGGCUAACUUCGUG